rnacentral:rRNA from 1 species
GAUGAACGCUAGCUACAGGCUUAACACAUGCAAGUCGAGGGGUAACGAGAGGAAAGCUUGCUUUCCUUGUCGACGACCGGCGCACGGGUGAGUAACGCGUAUCCAACCUGCCCCCAACUAGGGAAUAACCUUGCGAAAGUAAGACUAAUACCCUAUAAUUUCCUCAGAUGCCAUCUGACGAGGAAUAAAGAUUUAUCGGUUGUGGAUGGGGAUGCGUCUGAAUAGCUUGUUGGCGGGGUAACGGCCCACCAAGGCAACGAUCAGUAGGGGUUCUGAGAGGAAGGUCCCCCACAUUGGAACUGAGACACGGUCCAAACUCCUACGGGAGGCAGCAGUGAGGAAUAUUGGUCAAUGGGCGGAAGCCUGAACCAGCCAAGUAGCGUGCAGGAUGACGGCCCUAUGGGUUGUAAACUGCUUUUAUACAGGAAUAAAGUUAGCCACGUGUGGUUAUUUGUAGGUACUGUAUGAAUAAGGACCGGCUAAUUCCGUGCCAGCCGCCGCCGUAA